AUGGGGAACCGUCAUGGCACAAUGAGGCCAAGGCGGCUGAAGAGUGCGAGAGCGACGGGGGAGGAGCUGGGGUCGUACGAGGCGGCGUGCAGCGCGGACCCGGAGCUGCGGAGCUUCGACGCGGCGCUGCGGCGGCGUGCGAGCCUCGCUGUAGCGGCGGCGGCGUCCGGGGUGGAGGUGCGGUCCAUGUCCCUGGGCUCCCUCCGGGAGGUCACCGGCUACCUGGUGGAGAUGAACCAGGAGGUGGUCUGCGUGGUGCUCGCCAGCAAGCACGACGUGUGGGGGUGUCCCGAGCUGUUCGCGCUCGUGGAGGACUACUUCGACGCCAGCCUCCACACCCUCGACUUCCUCGCCGCGCUCGACAAGGCGCUCCGCCGCGCCCGCGACUCGCAGCUCGUCCUGCACCUCGCGCUCCAAUGCCAGGACCCGGCCGCGGCCGGCGGUGAUCCGUUCACGGACGAGUUCUUCGCCGCGUUCCAGGCGGCGUACCGGCAGCAGCUGGGCAUGCUGGACAGGCUGCGGCGGCAGAAGCGCUGCCUGGACGGUUGCCUCCGGUCGCUCCGCGUCUGGCGCCGCGUGACGGGCGUCGUCUUCGCGACGACCUUCGCGGCGAUCCUCGUCUGCUCGGUGGUGGCCGCGGCCAUCGCCGCUCCGCCCGUCGCGGCCGCACUGGCGGCCGCAGCGUCGCUGCCCGUGGGCUCCGCCGGAAAGUGGGUGGACGCGAUGCUGAAGCGGUACGGGGACGUGCUCCGGGGGCACAAGGACGUGGUGGGCGCAAUGCAGAUCGGUACGUUCGUCGCCAUCGAGGACCUGGACAGCAUACGCUCGCUCGUCGGCCGGCUCGAGGUCCACAUCGGCUCCAUGGUGAACUGCGUGGAGCUGGCGGAGCGCGAGGAGGGGGCCGUCAGGAUGGUGAUUGAGGAGGUGAAGAAGAAACUGGAGGUGUUCAUGAAGAGCGUGGACGAUCUCGGGCAGCAGGCGGACAAGUGUAGCCGGGACAUCCGGCAAGCCAGGACCGUCGUGCUGCAGAGGAUCAUUCAUCACCAUUAA
rnacentral:rRNA from 1 species